rnacentral:rRNA from 1 species
GACGAACGCUGGCGGCGUGCUUAGCACAUGCAAGUCGAACGGUGAACUCCGCUUGCGGGGGGAUCAGUGGCGAACGGGUGAGUAACACGUGGGCAACCUGCCCUCAGCUCUGGGAUAACUCCAAGAAAUUGGGGCUAAUACCGGAUAUGACCGCUGACCGCAUGGUCUGGUGGUGGAAAGAUUUAUCGGCUGGGGAUGGGCCCGCGGCCUAUCAGCUUGUUGGUGGGGUAGUGGCCUACCAAGGCGACGACGGGUAGCCGGCCUGAGAGGGUGACCGGCCACACUGGGACUGAGACACGGCCCAGACUCCUACGGGAGGCAGCAGUGGGGAAUAUUGCGCAAUGGGCGAAAGCCUGACGCAGCGACGCCGCGUGGGGGAUGACGGCCUUCGGGUUGUAAACCUCUUUCAGCAGGGACGAAGCGAAAGUGACGGUACCUGCAGAAGAAGCACCGGCCAACUACGUG